CAUGCAAGUCGAGCGAACGGACGAGAAGCUUGCUUCUCUGAUGUUAGCGGCGGACGGGUGAGUAACACGUGGAUAACCUACCUAUAAGACUGGGAUAACUUCGGGAAACCGGAGCUAAUACCGGAUAAUAUUUUGAACCGCAUGGUUCAAAAGUGAAAGACGGUCUUGCUGUCACUUAUAGAUGGAUCCGCGCUGCAUUAGCUAGUUGGUAAGGUAACGGCUUACCAAGGCAACGAUGCAUAGCCGACCUGAGAGGGUGAUCGGCCACACUGGAACUGAGACACGGUCCAGACUCCUACGGGAGGCAGCAGUAGGGAAUCUUCCGCAAUGGGCGAAAGCCUGACGGAGCAACGCCGCGUGAGUGAUGAAGGUCUUCGGAUCGUAAAACUCUGUUAUUAGGGAAGAACAUAUGUGUAAGUAACUGUGCACAUCUUGACGGUACCUAAUCAGAAAGCCACGGCUAACUACGUGCCAGCAGCCGCGGUAAUACGUAGGUGGCAAGCGUUAUCCGGAAUUAUUGGGCGUAAAGCGCGCGUAGGCGGUUUUUUAAGUCUGAUGUGAAAGCCCACGGCUCAACCGUGGAGGGUCAUUGGAAACUGGAAAACUUGAGUGCAGAAGAGGAAAGUGGAAUUCCAUGUGUAGCGGUGAAAUGCGCAGAGAUAUGGAGGAACACCAGUGGCGAAGGCGACUUUCUGGUCUGUAACUGACGCUGAUGUGCGAAAGCGUGGGGAUCAAACAGGAUUAGAUACCCUGGUAGUCCACGCCGUAAACGAUGAGUGCUAAGUGUUAGGGGGUUUCCGCCCCUUAGUGCUGCAGCUAACGCAUUAAGCACUCCGCCUGGGGAGUACGACCGCAAGGUUGAAACUCAAAGGAAUUGACGGGGACCCGCACAAGCGGUGGAGCAUGUGGUUUAAUUCGAAGCAACGCGAAGAACCUUACCAAAUCUUGACAUCCUUUGACAACUCUAGAGAUAGAGCCUUCCCCUUCGGGGGACAAAGUGACAGGUGGUGCAUGGUUGUCGUCAGCUCGUGUCGUGAGAUGUUGGGUUAAGUCCCGCAACGAGCGCAACCCUUAAGCUUAGUUGCCAUCAUUAAGUUGGGCACUCUAAGUUGACUGCCGGUGACAAACCGGAGGAAGGUGGGGAUGACGUCAAAUCAUCAUGCCCCUUAUGAUUUGGGCUACACACGUGCUACAAUGGACAAUACAAAGGGCAGCGAAACCGCGAGGUCAAGCAAAUCCCAUAAAGUUGUUCUCAGUUCGGAUUGUAGUCUGCAACUCGACUACAUGAAGCUGGAAUCGCUAGUAAUCGUAGAUCAGCAUGCUACGGUGAAUACGUUCCCGGGUCUUGUACACACCGCCCGUCACACCACGAGAGUUUGUAACACCCGAAGCCGGUGGAGUAACCUUUUAGGAGCUAGCCGUCGAAGGUG
rnacentral:rRNA from 2 species